AAGGGGGGACGUAUAUCAAUGCGGUAACAACACAAAUCCACCAAAAACAGAUAUUCAUCUUGGAAAAACGUAUUUAGUCGUUUUGUUUAUAACUGUAACCUACUGCAUGCUACCUCAGUUGAUUUUGAUUUUACUGAUAUGAGCCUUAACAGGCUAAUUCAGGAAUACAUGUUCCUGAGGUAGUGAUUCAUAUUAACAAAACAAACACAUUUCAAAAACAGACAUUAUAUUACACUUAACACUUAACAAAAAAUUACAGUCAUAAUUGUGCCUCAUCAUGUUUACUUAGGCCGGGGGCUUAUGUUCAACAAUCUACACUGCAGCCGUUUGCAAGUGAAAACUGUCUAUUGUAGUCCUGUAAAGAGUUGGCUGAUAGGGUGAUCCAUCAUUUCACAGAGACCAGUUGGCAAUGUUACCACAAGAUGGAGGCAAAGCAUUGCAUUCUUUGUUUGGAUCCUUCAAUAGAACGCUAAUCAACUAAGCUUCCACUUUAAUAACACUGGCACACACACAA